rnacentral:rRNA from 1 species
GGUAACAGGUUAAGCUGACGAGUGGCGAACGGGUGAGUAAUGUAUCGGAACGUGCCCAGUCGUGGGGGAUAACUGCUCGAAAGAGCAGCUAAUACCGCAUACGACCUGAGGGUGAAAGCGGGGGAUCGCAAGACCUCGCGCGAUUGGAGCGGCCGAUAUCAGAUUAGGUAGUUGGUGAGGUAAAGGCUCACCAAGCCGACGAUCUGUAGCUGGUCUGAGAGGACGACCAGCCACACUGGGACUGAGACACGGCCCAGACUCCUACGGGAGGCAGCAGUGGGGAAUUUUGGACAAUGGGCGCAAGCCUGAUCCAGCCAUGCCGCGUGCGGGAAGAAGGCCUUCGGGUUGUAAACCGCUUUUGUCAGGGAAGAAAAGGUUCUGGCUAAUACCUGGGACUCAUGACGGUACCUGAAGAAUAAGCACCGGCUAACUACGUGCCAGCAGCCGCGGUAAUACGUAGGGUGCAAGCGUUAAUCGGAAUUACUGGGCGUAAAGCGUGCGCAGGCGGUUAUGCAAGACAGAGGUGAAAUCCCCGGGCUCAACCUGGGAACUGCCUUUGUGACUGCAUGGCUAGAGUACGGUAGAGGGGGAUGGAAUUCCGCGUG